rnacentral:tRNA from 1 species
GUUGUGGUGGCCGAGUGGUUAAGGCGACAGACUCGAAAUCUGUUCCCUUCGGGGGCACAGGUUCGAAUCCUGUUCACAACG